rnacentral:rRNA from 1 species
AUUGAACGCUGGCGGCAGGCCUAACACAUGCAAGUCGAGCGAGCGGCGGACGGGUGAGUAAUGUCUGGGAAACUGCCUGAUGGAGGGGGAUAACUACUGGAAACGGUAGCUAAUACCCCAUACCAUCAGAUGUGCCCCGAUGGGAUUAGCUGGUAGGUGGGGUAACGGCGCACCUAGGCGACGCUCCCUAGCUGGUCUGAGAGGAUGACCAGCCACACUGGAACUGAGACACGGUCCAGACUCCGACGGGAGGCAGCAGUGGGGAAGAUUGCACAAUGGGCGCAAGCCUGAUGCAGCCAUGCCGCGUGUGUGAAGAAGGCCUUCGGGUUGUAAAGCACUGUCAGCGGGGAGGCGUUACCCGCAGAAGAAGCACCGGCUAACUCCGUGCCAGCAGCCGCGGUAAUUC